UACGUAGGGGGCAAGCGUUGUCCGGAAUUACUGGGCGUAAAGGGCUCGUAGGCGGCCAACUAAGUCGGAUGUGAAAUCCCCAAGCUUAACUUGGGAACUGCAUCCGAUACUGGAUGGCUUGAAUCCGGGAGAGGGAUGCAGAAUUCCAGGUGUAGCGGUGAAAUGCGUAGAUAUCUGGAGGAAUACCGGUGGCGAAGGCGGCAUCCUGGACCGGCAUUGACGCUGAGGAGCGAAAGCUAGGGGAGCAAACGGG
rnacentral:rRNA from 1 species